CAGGCAGAGAUCAGGCCUAGGCAAAUAGUUCUCAAAACCCUCUUUCAAAAAUACCCAACACAGAAUCUGAAAUCUUGGUGGGGAUACCUGAGGCCUGGCUCCCUGCUGUAAGGCCAUAUCUAUAGCACCACCAGCCUUGCCUUCAUGUGUGCUGCAGCCCCGGUACUUGGCGGCACCCUGUGGGAAGGCCCACCAAUGGGGGCCAAAGUGAGGGUGGGCACAAGCCAUCCGAGUGAAACCUUGGAUUUGACA
rnacentral:snoRNA from 1 species